rnacentral:rRNA from 1 species
CACGUAGUUAGCCGGUGCUUUUUCUGCAGGUACCGUCAAGAGCAAGCUCCCUUCUUCCCUACUAAAAGAGGUUUACAACCCGAAGGCCGUCAUCCCUCACGCGGCGUUGCUGCAUCAGGCUUUCGCCCAUUGUGCAAUAUUCCCCACUGCUGCCUCCCGUAGGAGUCUGGGCCGUGUCUCAGUCCCAGUGUGGCCGGUCACCCUCUCAGGCCGGCUACCCGUCGUCGCCUUGGUGAGCCAUUACCUCACCAACAAGCUGAUAGGCCGCGAGUCCAUCCCCAACCAAAAAAAUCUUUCCACCACCAGACCAUGCGGCCGGCAGUCAUAUCCAGUAUUAGACGUCGUUUCCAACGCUUAUCCCAGAGUCAGGGGCUGGUUACUCACAUGUUACUCACCCGUUCGCCACUAAUCCACCAGCAAGCUGGGCCAUCAUCGUUCGACUUGCAUGUGUUAAGCACGCCGCCAGCCGUCGUCUCGUAGACCGACGGAGUACAAACC